CCUUCCCUUCUGUUCCAAAAACCUAACAACUCCUUGCCUCUUCCCACCACUACCUCGUCGAGCAUCCUCCUUCCACUCAUCCAUUCCUUGAAAAUGAUGUUUUCGUUUUGUUAUUUCCGUAGCACUGUAGUCUAGAGAAAGGACAAAAAUGAAAUUCCAAGAAAAAAAGUUAUCCAAAUAAAGAACACAGUUGAUAAGUUUAGGAAAAAGUUUAAAAUUGUCAACAUAAAAGGAAGACCCAACGAAGGUUUGGAUUGGGUCGACCAAACUAUGGUGGUUAUGGGUUGCGUACAGAUUCUCCAGGUUCGAAGUAGCAUAACAUUCCUUAAGGUAAAUGAUGGUUCAUGCCUUUUAAACAUGUAAUGGAUCAUGAAUUCAGACACUGAAGGCUACAAUCAGGUGCAAGGGACUUUGGUGGCUAGCCAAGGAUCAAAUUAGAAAGUGGAAUUGAAGGUUGAAAAAGUUGUUGUGGUAU